rnacentral:misc_RNA from 1 species
AAAUCUCAACCUUCUCGGUUUCUUCUGGACACCGAGGGAGGCUUGGACUUUGGAGGCCUUUGCUGGUGUCUCUCUCUUCUGAAACCCAGCUCCUCUUAAAUGAAUUAGCGGGGUCCUCUUUGCUGAUCCUCGACGUGUGAUAAGAUGUUUCCAUGUCUUGGUUUCUGGCUCUGUUGCUCCUGGGAUCCGCUUCUAAUCGUCUCAACCUUGCAUCGAGACAAUGUUUGAGCGUGUCUCCCUUCUCGGGAAACGCUCUCAACCCCACGAAC